GAUGAACGCUGGCGGCGUGCCUAAUACAUGCAAGUCGAGCGAAUGGAUUAAGAGCUUGCUCUUAUGAAGUUAGCGGCGGACGGGUGAGUAACACGUGGGUAACCCGCCCAUAAGACUGGGAUAACUCCGGGAAACCGGGGCUAAUACCGGAUAACAUUUUGAACCGCAUGGUUCGAAAUUGAAAGGCGGCUUCGGCUGUCACUUAUGGAUGGACCCGCGUCGCAUUAGCUAGUUGGUGAGGUAACGGCUCACCAAGGCAACGAUGCGUAGCCGACCUGGGAGGGUGAUCGGCCACACUGGGACUGAGACACGGCCCAGACUCCUACGGGAGGCAGCAGUAGGGAAUCUUCCGCAAUGGACGAAAAUCUGACGGAGCAACGCCGCGUGAGUGAUGAAGGCUUUCGGGUCGUAAAACUCUGUUGUUAGGGAAGAACAAGUGCUAGUUGAAUAAGCUGGCACCUUGACGGUACCUAACCAGAAAGCCACGGCUAACUACGUGCCAGCAGCCGCAGUAA
rnacentral:rRNA from 1 species